AUAGGUAUCUACCCAUUAUGAUAGCCUAUUGCAGGUGAGACCCUCGCCUGCCUCCCUUCCAGCUCCUAGGAGCUGAGAGCGAGGUUCAGUGGGUCCCUCUUUUGUUUAUUAAAAACGAGAAAAAUCGAGAACGAAAAUGUCAACAGAGAACGGCAAUAGAUACGCAGUGAUGGUGGAAGAACAGGAACAUAAUAACAAUAAAGAACAAGAA